rnacentral:lncRNA from 1 species
GCCGGCGGAGACAGCGACGGAGGCGACGGCGGCGUUGAUGGAAGACGAGGAUUUGCGACGGGGUUUGGGUGGUGGAUAAGGGGGACGGACGGCGGUGGAAACGUAUCGGGUAAUCGCGGGCUGCGCAGGUGAGAAUACGGCUGCGGCGGUGAAUCCGGCGGCGAGAUUGCGGAGGAAUAGAAGAAAGAGAUUUGGGGGUGGUUGCGAAAUUAAAGCAUACGUAAAUUAGAAUUUUCAAUUUUGUG